AAGAAAAAUAAGGAUUCAAGCACCAAGAAGCAGCCGGCGAGGGAGGCCGCUGCUGCGAACAGCGAGUCGAGGGCGAUGGUGGCGGAGAGGGAGAAGGAAUACGACCGGCUGUCUAAGUUCCUCGUGGUCUACCUCAAUGCUAUUUGAGACGCUGCGGCCUCCGAGGAUGGCUGGGUCCUGGGGCGUGGAGCUCUGGAAUUGCUGCUCGGCGGCACCGCCUACACACAAGCGACAAGUGCGCCACAAAUCUCUCUCUCGAUGCAGCAAGUGCAGCGGAGGGAGCUGCAACUGGUCGCCGUUUCUGCCAUGCUGAUAGAUUGCAAGUACGAGGAGAUUUGGGCCCCAGAGGUGAACGACUUCAUCUUCAUAUCAGAUAGUGCAUACACUAGGGAACAGAUUCUUGCAAUGGAGAAGGGGAUUCUGAAUAAGCUUCAGUGGAAUCUCACCAUUCCUACACCAUAUGUCUUCAUUAUGAUGCUAUCUGCGUCUGCAGAUAACAAAAGUGACAAGGAGGUAAAGAGCCAUGGCUUUUGUUUGUUUCUGUUUACCACCAGAUUAUAUUUCAUUGCUAAGCGACAAGUUUAAGCGUGUACUCAAGAUUUCUUUUGGUGAAUGCUGAUGGAGCACAUGGCCUUCUUCUUCGCUGAAUUGGCACUGAUGCAGUACGGGCUGGUGGCAUAUGCCUCUGCUGUCUAUGCAGCCAGGCCCAAUCCUCGUCAUUUCUAUAUAUGAAGAAAUUGCUGGAUCCAUCCUCUCGGCUAACUAGGACGUUGUUCCACUAGAUCUCCAUUAUUCCUAGUGCAGGUUUAUUUGGAUUACAUAAUCCCCUAUCGGUUUAGUUCCCUUUAUUGUUGAACAAUUGGAGAUAAUAUCUUUCACGAUAAUUCGUACCACUGAGCAAAAUUCAAUGAUGCAAUUAUUUUAUAUGCAACUCAUUUGGUGAACAAGAUGUAUCUUGUGGCAAACAACGAGAUGAAAAGUUACUUGAUCCUUCAGGCAUACCUGUGAUUUUCCAAUCUAUUCUUUGCACGUUCUUGGAAAGAUUGGUUGUCCCUGAUAGCUGUCCGUAGUGAUUCAUGGAUACUGUGUGGCAUUUUACUUUGGGGCUCAUUUUGGAUUUGAUAAAGAAGUCAGAUUGCCAAGAGAAGGUCAGCUCAUCUGCUGAAGUAUCCUACUGUGACGAUUAUAAGCCCUGGGAUCAGUAACACUAGAGUCCAUUCAAGACUCCAUAAUGCUAGGUCCUAACAGAAUGCUGAGGCCCUCAAGUUCAAAAGAUUAUCACAGAGCCGGCAACAACUCAUUGAUUGGUCAGUAAAAAUAAAGGUUUCAAAGGAGCAUGGGGGUUUCAUGAGAUUUAUCCAGGUUUCUUGCCUAGGAGCAUCGGCCUCUUCUUCUAGAAUGCUGAGGGCCAAGGCUGCUGGGGAAGAAUCUGUGUUGAAGGAAUUUCCUGAGGCUACAAUUAUGAGGCCUGCAACUAUGAUUGGCACAGAAGAUCGGAUUUUGAACAGAUGGGUACAGUUUGCUAAAAAUUGAUUCCCGGUCUACAAAGAUUCAGCCUGUUUAUGUUGUGGAUGUUGCUGCUGCUAUUGUCAACUCCCUCAAGGAUGAUGGCACCAGCAUGGGAAAGAGCUACGGACUUGGUGGACCAGAGAUUUAUACUGUUCAUGAUCUGGCUGAGCUGAUGUAUGAGACAAUAUGUGAAUGGCCACGGUACAUCGAUGUUCCUCUUCCUAUUGCAAGGGUAUGAACUUAAAUAAUAUCUUGUGUUGGUCAAGGCGAAUGGCCACGGUACAUCGAUGUUCCUCUUCCUGUUGCAAGGGCUAUCGCAUCUCCUGAAAGCUGAUAGAUUGGGAUUUUUUUUUUCAAUACUCUAAGCCUCUAAUGAAAGGUGCAUAUGGACUUUUAUUUUAGAUGUUCUAACUUUGUUUUGUCUCUACCUCUCAAAUUGUUACUAUAUAUGUACUCUUCAACCUGCCGCAUAGGUUGGCACAUGUUUAUAAGGUCAAAUGGAAUAUAUUUCUUGUGUUUUUACUAUCAUUUGGUUUAGUUCUUUCACACAGCAAUGUUGCUAUUUCUAUUGUUGCUUCCCGCCCUGGAAAAAACACGGCUCAAGCCGUGAGGUCUUCAUUUGCUUCUCUUGUGACCAAUUAAUCUGUAGGUUUGGGUCCAAAGUAUGCUUUCGCAACCAAGUGAUGAAAAAAAAAACAAUCUGGUUGGGGAUGUCAAUUGGUUGGUUCAUACAAGAAUAAACCUAUGACAUUCGCAACUUUUUCAAGUGAGGGAUCUGUUUUUUGGUUGCAGCUGACAGUGUCAUCACGUUGUGGGAUCCUGGUAAUAAUAUCACAUUUGUUGGUAUGAUUAAAGAGGCACUAUUUAGUGGUAUGCUACUAUCUUUGAAAUGUUGUGGAUGAAGCACUGUGAGUUGCUUGUGAGGAAGAUCAAGCACAUGGUUGCUGAGCUAUUCAAGGCAAAAGAAUAAAUAAGAUCCUAUCGUCUUCAACGUGGUGCUAUCAUCCUUGGUCAUCAGGGAAAACUCAGAAGACCAUGAACCACUCCGGCCACUCAUAGAUGAAAAGAAUACUUGUGAUAUACUGGUGUAAUAAUUGUGGAGCGAUGAUUCACAAACAAAGGAUGCUGUAGUUGCUUAAAUGCAUUUAAGUUGCGAGGACAGCAGUCCGAAGAUUUGCCUUCUAGAUGCGAUAUCAGGAUUGUGAAUCAGGUCAAAAGCACUGCACCUGCGAUGGACAGUGGUGGUGAACAGCGUGGCAUUCAUGACAAUAGAGAUAGGCAAUGGCUGAGAUUUAACUUGCUCUUAUACCAAAAUAAUGAAACUCUCCUUCAAUGAUGUAAAAUGAUUGAAGGCAGAAAGUUAAUGCUACACGGGAGCUAGCUAGCUACUACUACUCCAGAAGAUACUGAUUCCUAGCGGGCAUGUGGAGUUGUACUACUAGUUAAUUAAUGGGGCAUGUUCAAUUAAUGUUGGUCGCUGUGUGAAGUGGAUCGGAGUAGUAGUAUUUAUAUGGGCACCCAGCAGGCAGGGGAGGGAUCAAAAUCGAGCGCACACGUACUGUACUUACUGCCAGCCACUAACAAGAGUCAGACAAUGGACUCAAAGAAGGUCGCGUAUGCUGUUUUUAUCGUCAUUCUCCUAAUGACGGAGGUAGCGGCCGCCGCUGCCGCUGGAGGCAGCGCCCGUGGGACUGGUGGUACAGGUGAUCGCGCCAACGAUGAAGAGAAAUUUAUCUUUGGCCAUCUGAGCAAAGCAAUAUUAAUUUACAUAGCCAGUCACUUCCCAGGUCACAUUAAAGAGUGCGUCAACCACGUCGAAAACCAGUGUGGCUGGGCUCCGGCGCCUGGAUGCCUGAAAGAGGCAUUAGCCACAUGCGCCAAAUAAGGCGCCCGCUGCUUCGCUUCCUCUGGCGGUCUGGCCCCUCUCCGCAUAAAUAAUUGUAAUAAGGGGUCCUAGUGAAUAUAUAUAUAUAUAUAUAUGUGGUACUCACUGCAGUGAGUAUGUAUUAUGUACUACUUAUUAUAUAGUAAUAAAAUUUGAAUAAAGUAAUAUUUGAGCCUGCA